AACGAACGCUGGCGGCAGGCCUAACACAUGCAAGUCGAGCGGACCUUUCGGGGUCAGCGGCGGACGGGUGAGUAACGCGUGGGAAUAUGCCCUUCUCUACGGAAUAGUCCUGGGAAACUGGGGGUAAUACCGUAUACGCCCUUUGGGGGAAAGAUUUAUCGGGGAAGGAUUAGCCCGCGUUGGAUUAGGUAGUUGGUGGGGUAAUGGCCUACCAAGCCGACGAUCCAUAGCUGGUUUGAUAGGAUGAUCAGCCACACUGGGACUGAGACACGGCCCAGACUCCUACGGGAGGCAGCAGUGGGGAAUCUUAGACAAUGGGGGCAACCCUGAUCUAGCCAUGCCGCGUGAGUGAUGAAGGCCUUAGGGUUGUAAAGCUCUUUCAGCUGGGAAGAUAAUGACGGUACCAGCAGAAGAAGCCCCGGCUAACUCCGUG
rnacentral:rRNA from 1 species